rnacentral:lncRNA from 13 species
CGUGUCACUGUUAGGCUUUUCACUGCUGUAUGCUUUUCACUAGGUUGGUGUGCGAUUGGAGAAUGCUGAAACCCUCAUAGAGAAGGGUUUUGGGCCGAAAUCUGCUACUUUCAGUGACUAUUUUUUUGGAAAUACUAAUGAAGAAAACCACAAGUCAGAAACCCCAGUGGAAACAGCAGAGAAAGUCAAGCAGAGGAACUCGAAUUUGAAGCGAUACAGCCCUGCUGAUCAUCUUGUGACAAAGUUUGGCAAGCCAAAGCUGAGAAAAACAAACCAAAAUUGUCUUGGUAGAAAAUACAGUAAGAUGAAUGAGUUAGUCAAAAAGUUCACUGAGAGAACAGUAAGAAAGGAGGCACUGAAAUGUGAGCUAAGCAUGAAAAUCUUUGGAAAUGAACUUAGCUUCUUAGAUUGCGAAGAUUUAAGAAAACAGAUGAAACAUUAUUCCUUAAAUCUGGCUGAGUUGGCUGUUAGACUUCUGAAGGUAAAAGGAACCUUUUUUCUAUUUGAAAGUAAAUAUCUUGAGAAA